rnacentral:rRNA from 1 species
AUGCCCCAGCCGCCACAUCGUCAUGCCCGAUGCCACCUCCUCCAAACCUAUCGCCUGCAGAGCAAAAUGGGAUCCUGCAGAAGAGCUCGCCUCUUCCCUGACAAAAGAGACGAGGCGGCCGCUCGGGCGAUGCGGUGUGGGAUCCGUCACUUCGCUCAGUACGGGACCAUGCACGCCCAGCAAAAGCCCACGAGAGCGAGAGGGGAAGAGCGGGAAGGGGAGAGGGGAGGGCGUCAACCAGGCACGGGAAGGGAGGAGGGAAGGCGCGAAUCAAGGGAAGGGGCGAAGCAGAGGGGAAGGCCGCACACCCUCGUUCUCAGCCCGCCAUCGACACCGUCUUGCCUGAUCUGA